rnacentral:rRNA from 1 species
AUUGAACGCUGGCGGCAGGCCUAACACAUGCAAGUCGAGCGAGCGGCGGACGGGUGAGUAAUGUCUGGGAAACUGCCUGAUGGAGGGGGAUAACUACAGGAAACGGUAGCUAAUACCGCAUACCAUCAGAUGUGCCCAGAUGGGCUUAGCUAGUAGGUGGGGUAACGGCUCACCUUGGCGACGGUCCCUAGCUGGUCUGAGAGGAUGGCCAGCCACACUGGAACUGAGACACGUUCCAGACUCCUACGGGAGGCAGAAUGGGGGAAUAUUGCACAAUGGGCGCAAGCCUGAUGCAGCCAUGCCGCGUGUGUGAAGAAGGCCUUCGGGUUGUAAAGCACUUUCAGCGGGGAGGCGUUACCCGCAGAAGAAGCACCGGCUAACUCCGUGCCAGCAGCCGCGGUAAUUC